GGCGCUAUAGUGUAGUGGUUAUCACUCGGGAUUUUGAUGACUCAAAGUUUCCCGAAACCCAGGUUCGAACCCUGGUAGAGCCU